GUGAUUGUAGCUCAGUUGGUUAGAGCGUCGGAUUGUGGUUCCGAAGGUCGGGGGUUCGAGACCCCUCAUUCACCCCU
rnacentral:tRNA from 1 species